UCUGCCACAGACCCACUGUCCAACCUCAGCAUUCAAGCCACUCAUUUCAGUUUCUAGUGACUCUGUUCCCAUCUGCAGAACGGGUACAAGGCUGGGAUUCUGUGACGAUGAACAGAGGGCCUGAAACACUUCUCUACGGUGGCGUCCCAGUCUUUUCUCUACUUCCAGGUCCAACUAAAUUUGCCAGUUACCAAACCAAAUACAAAUGACACCUAGCAAAAAGUGAUCCAGGAACUCAGAGUCCAAAAGGAGGCCUGGUGGCAAGCCCUGUCCGUCUCCUUGCUGUGUUCAAAGCUCUGUCCAGUUCACAGUGUGGCCAGAUGCUAGUGUGUAUGCGUUAAACUCUGGGGGGUGGGGAAUGCUCUCUUGGUGAGGGCUUGCGCUGCAGGAAAGUGACAUGGUCCCUCUGCAACACGACUCCAUCCAUGAGUGACACGGGGGCUGUGGCUGGAAGGCCCCACUCGAGGUGGCAAGGGUUGCGGCCUGCCCUUUACCGUCCACGUGGCUCAGCUCUGGGCCAGUGCUGUCUUCUGUACCCAGAGAGGCUGGGAGGUUUUUACACAGGCCCCGUGUUCUCGCUCCGUGUGGUUCGGGCCCCUCCCAGGCAGGCUGAUUUGUGAAUGUGUUGAAUUCCAGCACACUAGACAGCCUAACCACAGACUGGUGUUUUGUUUCUCUACCGGAUACACCUGCCCAAAAAGCGGGGUUCACUCAUGCUGCAGGCUCCGGUUUGUUUCACUUUUGAAAAAUCGCACCCUCCAGAUAAACCAGAGGGUAUAAUCGUGAGCCCUGAGAACCUGCGGAGGCUAACGAGUAACGGAAUUGAUUUUCUUUUCUUUUAGGGGCACAGGACCAUAGUAUAAAAUUGCUUUUCUCAUCCAGAUGAGCAUUUUCCACAUUCUGUCGAUCAUCAUUUCCCAAAUCCUACCACCCAAGAGGAUUUUACAGAGAUGCGGAUGCAGCAUCAAAGAGCAUUGAGUCACGGACUGGGAAAAUCAGUCCCUUUUUAGUUUUUCCAAUCUUCCUGGUUUUGUCAAGAAAAAAAAAAUCUUCAUUUGAUGCCAGUAUUUCUUUACCAUCUAACACUAAUCUACCCUUAAAAAACCCCAGCAACAACAAAAUGAGCGCAGAUCUCAGAUUUUGAGUCCUUAGUUAGAUGUGGUGUCUACUUAAAUGCUAUGUUGUCUAGCUCAAAUUUGACAUUAUUGUUUCAUUUAUACUGUGAUUAUUUUUAGGAUUCAUUUUCGGCAGGGAUAGCUGUUUGCCAUUUAUUCUUUUGAAAUAAAUAUCCUCAAGUUUUUAAAAUGGUAAAGAAAGAUAUGAAGUAAAUAAUUGCACAGGUGCUAUUCAUCAAUCAUGUAAGUCAUGAGGGUAGUAUAUGGUGAUCUUCUGCUAUGAGAGAAAUUGGGAGGGAAUACCCAAAUACCUGACAUGUGAACAACUGGGCUUUGGAGUCAGAUGAACGGACGUGGGUUUAAAUCGCCAUCUACCACUGGAUACUUGACCCAGAGCAAGUGAUUUAACUUCGUUCCACAUCUGCAAAAUCAGGAGAAUGGCCGUUCACGACCCACCUUGGGAUUUUUGUGAAGACAACGUACGUAAGCUUGCAUGUGUAAUGCAUGGUCCUAGAACAUACUCAAUAAGGUUAGCCAUUAUUAUUUUUUCUGGAAGUUUGUACCUCUUAUUACCCUUCACCCGUCUGCCCCUCCCCUCACCCCCCUGCCCCCUUACACGCCAUGUAAGCGCCGUGCCUGGCACCUAACACAGUGAGGUAUAACCACUCCCGUAAUUUCUGUUAUCAUUAGCAUCAUGUGUUAGUUCGUGUCUGCUUUGAAGCAGAUGUCAAAGUGGGAUUAGAUGAGCACAGGACUUACGAAGGGGAAAACCCGUGAAGGAGAAAGGACCAGAGAGCAGGGGAAAGGGAAGAGAAGUCCUAACACCUGUAACAGGAAGGAGGCUAGGGUUGGAGAAGCCUCAGACUGCAGUACAGUGACAAGCCACUGAGGAGUCUGGGAGCCAAAGUCGACCAAAGUCAAGCCAAAGACAUCCCUUUGCUGCACUCUGUCAUUGGUUGGGAGAAGCUCACGGGAAAUGUGGUCUUCAUGUGGACGUGGUGGCAGAUCUAGAAGGGCCGCCCCACCAGAGGAUAUCUGAGUGGCACAUUCAUGGCUGCUAUGCCUAUCAUUUCCAUCUUGCAUGUGAAAAAUGCAACCUGAGAGUUUCCUCCAAUUCAUUUAUCUAGUUAAGUACCCGGUCAUUGCAAACCAGAUAGAGAUUGAAAUUACUUCACACCUAAAAGUGAAAUAUGAUAUUUGAAGGAUGAAAGAAACUCAUGGCCAACUUAUGAUUUUUUUGUUUCAAUGCCCAGCUAACAAACCAAGAAAUUAUUUACUUUUGAAGAGUUUGUCUUGGUCACAUUUUUUUUUUACUAACCCUAUUUGCCUUUUAGCUCUAAUUUUGGGUUUCUAAGGUUUAGCAUUUCAGUCAGAGAGUUAAGCACAGUUGAUAUUUUCAUGCAAAUUGAAUCUAACCCAGGGGCCCAAAUGUCAAUCUACAGGUAUGUUCAGCUCAUACAAUGUUAAAAAUAUUAUUGAACCAACAUUUUAAAAUUGGGAGAUAUCAUAUUAAAAAAAAUUAUUUUUGGUCUCAAAAGCCAGAAGAUCUGGAACAUUGAGCCUGAAUUUCAGCAUGACAAUAUGAUGUAGGGUGAGGUCAACUGCCCCUCAAAGCGGGGCUUUCCUGUUUGCUCCACCUGUAGGCUUCACUACCCGCAUAAAAUAUGCAGACGUCCUUACACCCAGCAGGCUUCACUUAUUUAUACACCGGCUUGGUCCUUUGGGCAGAGUGGUAAGUGUGCCCCCAUAUCACAUUCUACCCUUCUUCUGUAGCAAUGUUUUAGCUGGACUCACGGGUGCCCAGCUAGGACUACAUUUCCCAGUCUCCCUUGCAGCUUGCAGCUAGUGUGCUCAUGUUGCUAAGUUCUGGCGAAUGGUACGAAAGCAGAAUUGAUGUUUGGAACUUCCAGACUUCUUUUAUUUUUAUUAUUUUUUUUAACGUUUUUAUUUAUUUUUGAGACAGAGAGAGAGCAUGAACGGGGGAGGGUCAGAGAGAGAGAGGGAGACACAGAAUCUGAAACAGGCUCCAGGCUCUGAGCUGUCAGCACAGAGACGACGUGGGGCUGCAACUCGCGAACCACGAGAUCAUGACCUGAGCUGAAGUCGGACGCUCAACCGACUGAGCCACCCAGGCGCCCCCCAGACUUCUUUUACAAAAAAGCAAGGUGCCCUCCCUUCUUUCUUUCCUUCUUCUUGCCACAGCUGGAAUGCGGAUGUGAUGGUGGGAGCCAGAGCAGCCAUCUGACACCACAAGAUGGAAGCCAUAUAUAUUGAGAACAGCAAAGCAAAAAGAUAGGAGGAAACGGGGGGUCCAACACCAAAGCACAUGUACCAGCUCUGAAAAGCUUGUGCUCAGACUGUUACACCAGAAAAAUAAAAUUCCACUUUCGUGUCCCUUUUACACAGCAGCCUUAACUGUAUCUUAACUAAUACAUACCCAUUUGCAAUUGAGUCUGGCCUCAGACUUAAUUGGAACUGAGGUGUAAAGGAAAAGAAAAUUAGUGAUUUUGCAAUUUUUUCCUCCUAAAAGGAACCUGUGUGAGCAGCAUCAAAACAAAUUGCACUGAGAGCUGAGAUGAGGCAUAAUCCUCUCUAGGGUAAAAGCAGUACGGAAAACCCUGUCCCUGUCUCAACAGGCUCUGUUUGCAGGUGGUUCCAUUUUCCGGUCGUGAACUGGUUUGUGCAAAUGGCUCCUUCGGGGCCACUGUUUCCCCCACAGCUACAUGUCGCGGGUUCACAGGCUACUGUGCCACAUUCUCACUUCUUUUUCAUCUCCACCUUGUCUUUGAAGGCCACACUUGAGCAGGCAGCCCUCCCACCUUUUCUGGGCAGUGCCCUGUGAGCAGAAGAGAAGUAGAAACUUCUCCUUUGGUACUGUUCUGGCUCCCAAGGGGCCAUCAGAGGUUUCCCAGGGCUAAGCGUGAAACCAUUGAGGAUUUUCACAGUUGCAAACUGAGCAGAGCCUGCUGCACUAUGUGAAGGUAAAGGGCCAGUUAUGGAAAUUGAUCUAUGACCAAAAAAAGAUGUCACUACCUCCCCAGAGGCAGGUGCCAAAAAUGAAUGUUACUGUGUUCCCUAGAAUGAUGAAUGAAAACAUUGAAUGAAACCUGAGUAAUAAUCGUGCUAGACUAUUUAGUGUAACCUGUGACAAAGAAUCCAUUAAACCGGGACUAUUUGGGGGAAUACAAGAAAAAAACGUGCUGUUCAAUGUGCCAUAAUCGUGGGGCGCCUGGGUGGUGCAGUCGGUUAAGCGUCCGACUUCAGCCAGGUCACGAUCUCGCGGUCCGUGAGUUCAAGCCCCGCGUCAGGCUCUGGGCUGAUGGCUCAGAGCCUGGAACCUGUUUCCGAUUCUGUGUCUCCCUCUCUCUCUGCCCCUCCCCCAUUCAUGCUCUGUCUCUCUCUGUCCCAAAAAAUAAAUAAACGUUGAAAAAAAAUUAAAAAAAAAAUGUGCCAUAAUCGUGACGUACAUUUUCUCAUUCCACCGUCUCAAAAUUCCUCCGAGGUAGUAUUAUAGCUGCUGGUUUCUUGAAGCAGGUAUGUUAAGUAACUGGACAAAGAUCACACAGCUAGGAGGUAAAAAGCCAGGAUUUUGACAUUCUGGUGAUCUACGUUCAUUCCAUAUCAUGCAGCCUCAUGGAUGCUCGAAGACUGGCCUAAUCAGAAGGAGGAGGCAAGUGAGAUCACAGACGAACUGCCAGGGAUGGAAGUAUCUGGGUGAGGAGGAUGCAGAAGAUGGAUGCAGGAAAGCAAGAAAAGAAAGUGGAAGAGAGAGAUGUUGAGAAGACUAUAUACCUGCAUCGGAUCAUCCUAAGGCCCCACAGCUUACAGAAGAAAUCAAGAUGAGCACAACUCCCUGGUCCCUGAGGGAGAAGGGGUCGUGGAAGAGGCAGUUGGCAGAUGUGUAUCGGGAGGGCUGAGCUGGCAGCAAGAGAUGUGUCUGGUGUCUUUCUAAGAAGAAGAGACUAGGACACAGAUACACUCAGAGGAAAGGCCAUGUGAGGACACAGGGAGAAGGUGGUCAUCUACAAGCCAAAGAGAGAGGCCUCAGAAGAAGCCAACCCUGUCGGCACCCUGAUCUUGGACUUCCAGCCUCUAGAACUGUGAGAAAAUAAAUUUCUGUUGUUUCAACCACCCAA